GGCCGUCGUCAGGCGCUUGAUGUCCACCGACUCCACGAACCAGCCGUCGCCGAUGCCCCUGCCAUCGUGGUAGAGCCGCAGCUUGUAGAUCUUGCCCACGUCCUGAGCUUCCAGCUGGCAAAAUGGAAGAUCUUGGGGAGUUAAAAGGUGGAACAAAAAAGGACAGCGGCGAUGUGAAUGAUGCGGACAAUUGUUAAGAAUCAAACUGGGUCUCGCUGGGAUAGAUCUCCACCUCUACUUUUCCAUCAGCCUCGUCCUUGCAGAGCCAGCGGUGACUUGGGAACAUGUACUGCUUGCCCUGGACCGGCACCGAGAUCUGAACACUGUCCAGAAACCAGCCGGCUCGCAGGCCUUCGUUGGUGUGGCCGAUGAGGAGUCUGUUGAUCUGCCAAGACGUGCCAAAGAUUUGAAGCAAGAUCUGAAGAAAAACCUGGGCGUCGGUACCCGCGCCCUUCAGGUCCGAGGUCCAGAUCCACAAGGACCACGGGUACUCUGUAGCGCAAAGCCGAAACCAUCUCGUAGAGCUCUCUCUCAACGAGUCCAUCGCCCUCGUCCUCGUCCAGCCACAUCCCGCACGGAAAUGUCUGCUCCACACCCGUGAAUGGACAGUAGAUGACCACCUAGAUGAGGAAUACCCAAUUGGCGAAAGAGUACCAGCCGGCGCCCACGGCCCCGUUGUCGUGCCCGAUGGUGACCCUGCCGAGGGGGCUGAUCAGCUCGCAGAUCUCCACAUUGAAGAUGUCGAUGAGGCCGCGCUCGAAGGCGCCGCCCUCCAGAAAGAUUUUACCGCUG